CUUGAGCCCAAGAGGUUGAGACUGCAGUGACCCAUGAUCUUGUCACUGUGCUCCAGCCUGAAAAGAAAAAUUAAAAAUAAAGAUUAUGCAAUUGUGCACGUUUUCUCAAGUCAGAGGCAGAAGAAUGGCAGAGUUUAGAUUAAAAGUGUGGCACCUCCCCUUCCUCCUACUUUGGCCAUGUGCUUCCUUUUAGACAUACCCCAUGAUUGUGAGUUUCCUGAAGCCUCAGCAGCCAAGCUCCCUGUGCAGCCUCCUGAGAUGAGACAAAUCUUUAUAAAUUACCCAGUCUCAGUUCCUUAUAGCAAUGUGAGAGUGGACUAGUACAAAAAAUAUUCAGCUAAUGCAUUAGCUGGCUAUAAUUGCUAAGGAGGGAAGGAAAGGGAGAUGACUUAACAUGGCCGGCAAGGGAGGCCUCACUCAACAUGAAAGAGCUGAGGGAGAUGUCAUGGCCUUAUAUAUAGUUGAGGGGACAGCAUUCUAGGCAGAGGGAAAACUAGUGCAAAGGCCCUGAGGAUAGUUGUGUUUAAAGGUUUGGAGAAGCAGUGAAGCUAUAGAGAAGUGCCCUUGGAGGGGAGGACUUAAUGUCUGUAUAUAGUAGUGGAGAGUUGGUUAUUUUCAAACUCUUGUAAAAUGGCAAUGUGCUCUGGCCUUCCAGGCUCUGAAUGUUUUAAUUUAACUGGAAUGCUCCCUAUUGCCUUAUACCUUACUGCUCUUAACCUAACUUCUCUGACCACCACCAGCCCUUCUAUGUAAUGGCCCUGUAGCAUCAGAACUACAUUGCACAUUGUGUGUGAACUUGCCUAACUGCCUGUGCUUCUCUCCAUUCUGUAAAGUUCCCCUUGGUUCCCACCAUAUCACAAAGGGUCUAGUCAGGUGCUUGACAUUUUGUAGGUAAGUGGCUUAUAGUCCCCUUCUAAGGGCAGCAUAAUGUUGAGCCUAGGUUCAGAUCUCUAUGUGUGAUCUUAAACCACUUAGUGUUAGGUUUUAUUAACGAGUAAUAUGUGAUACAUCAGACUACUUGGUAAGUAGUAAGUACUCAGCAAAUGAUAUAUUAGUUGGUAGUACUAUUUAAUCAUUUUUAUAAUACCGUAGAUUCAUAAUGUUAGAACAAAAUGACAAUAUUGAUAUUUAGUAUUGUGCAUGUUUCAGCCGCACAUCUACUAAAACUGGAACUGAUACUUAGUAUUUACAUAGUACUGGAAUAGCUCUAAUGUUCUUUUAAUGGAGCAUUUAACUAUGGAUCAAGUACUAUUCUAGGUAUCGUAAGAACCAGUGAGCAAGUAUACAAAAAUCAGUGGAUAUGGUUGGUUGUGGUAACUCAUUGGCCACAUUUCAAAUAUUCAACAGCUGCAUGUGGCUAGGGGCAGCACAGAUAAAAAGGCUCUAGCAAAUAGUUGUAAAGAAUAACCACUGGUUUCACAAAGCACUCCACGGAGUCCUGGUGGUGGUCUUCUCCCCCUUGAGUUACUUGGGCAGAGGCCCUGUAACACAUCCACGGCUCAACAGCCACAUGUGGUUAGGGGCAGCAUAGAUAGAAAACAUUUCCAUUACUGCAGGGUUUUAUUAGCAGUACUGUUGUAGCAUUGCAUGAUGCAGCCAACUUUUCAGAAGAGACAACCUGUCAGAACCUGGACAGACAGUGUAGUCUGAAUGACUGCCUCCAGAGAUAAUCAGGCCUAAUCUCUGGAACCUGUAAAUGUUACCUUAUUUGCAGAUAUUAUUAUAAUUAGAUUAAGGAUCUCAGGAUGGGGAGAUUACCUUGGAUAAUCCUAGUGGGCCCUAAAUGCGAUCACAAGUUCCCUCAUGAGAGAGAGCCCGAGGGAGAUCCACACACAGCAGAUUGGAAGAUGCUGGCCUUGAAGAUCGGAGUGAGGCAGCCCCCAGGAGCUGGGAGAUGCCAAGGAACACAUUCCCCAUCAGAGCCUCCUGAGGAGCAUCAUUUGAUUUGGCUCAGUGAAACUAAUUUCUGACUUCUGGCCUUCAGAACUGAGAAUAAAUUGCUGUUUUAAGCCACCAACUUGUAAUUUGUUACAGCAACCUCUAAGAUCACAAAUAUAGCUGGGGCAAGAACCCCACCACCUCAGCCUGCCUCCACUGUUUUUAUUAGUGCCAUGUGGGUGGUUGGGAGUAGAUCCUAUAUAUAUUCAUUGGUCAUUUUUUAAAGGUAUGACCAUGAAUUUAAAAUGUAUUUAGACUUUAAUCUUGAGAUACAUGAGCAUAUGGCUAAAAUAUGUGGGGUCAGCAGAUACCUCCUAAUAAAGCAUUGUGAAAAGUAAGGAAUCAAUUUAUGGUUUAUUGGAAAGUCAUUUAUGCACACUUGUAUUUAUACAGUACAAGACACCACAUUUUAUAAAUUCAGUAACUGAAGCAAAUUAAGACAAUAGAAAAAGCAUUCUAAUUAUAAUUUUUGCCCUGCGGGCUGUACAGCUUCAGCCAGUAGUGUCCUGGAGGUAAUACAAACUGCUAAAGUGAGAUAAUGUUUUCAUAAACUUCAGUUUCAGUUUGUGUUUUAAGAAAUGUAAACUUGAAUCUCUGGGCAAGAGAAGGUUCUCAAUAUUUGGCACAAAGGGAGCAUCUGUCAGCCUAUUAGGUGUUUUUGGUGUAUGUAACAUGUAAAAGAGGACUUAAAAGGACAUAAUGGUACUAGUGUCCUUUAAAAAAAUAUAUAUCGGCUAGGCACAGCCUGUAAUCCCAGCUCUUUGGGAGGCUGAGGCAAGGGGACUGCUUGAGGCCAGGAAUUCGAGACCAGCCUGAGUAACAAAGCAAGACCCCAUCCCUACAAAAAGUCAAAAACUUCGCUGGGCACGGUCGUCUAAUCUACUUGGGAGGCUGAGGAGGGAGGAUCACUUGAGCCCACAAGUUCAAGGCUUCAGUGAGACAUGACUGUCACUGCACUCCAGCCUGGGCAACAGAGCAAGACCCUGACUCCAGAAAAGUAGUAUCACUAAUAAAACUAGUCUUCCCAGGGUCAGCUACCACAAGGCUCUGACUUAAGUCCUUGCCACUAGGUUGCAGUAAUACUAAUUCUGAAUUAUGGGAUACUACACUUAAACAGCAACUAUACUAGAGACUGGGAAGGAAAUUGGGGCAAAGAACCUAAGUGUUUUAAUGAGAAGUUCAUACUUAAAUUUAUUAUGGGAUGGAAUAACACAUGGUUCACCUAGCUCCCUAAACAUGUUAAUUGACAAAAUACUAUCUGAAAUCCUUUACAUUUUCUAGGUGUAUCAAAAUUUCUUCUGUGUGAAACCAUUUUUCACCUAUUCUCUGUAAGAAUACCUUAUAUCAACUGACAUGAAUUACUAAUGCUUUUUUAUUACAGUGUUUCAGCAAAACCACCAUUUGACUGGACCAUGAUGUACUUGAGGCUAUUCGUGGGCUCAUGAAUAUUCAACUCUACAAGUUUCACGCUGUUUAAAUCUACAAAAACCUGUUUAAAAUGUUUGGAUGCUCAGCUUGUUUCAGCCUGAAAUUUCUCCAAGACCAAUGAAACAAAACAGGAUUGUGCCCUGAAUAGACACCCAAGCUGCAGGCUCCUGCUUAGCUCUAUUUUGCUUUGGCCUCCAUUAGAUCUUCAGCCACAAUAGCAGGAGAUAACAGUCUUCCUAGAAGCUUUCAUCAGCUGCAAGUUUUCUUACAGAAUGAAACUUUUCUGCUAUUUUUCUCACAGUUAAUUGGCUAUUUGAGAAAACCGAAUUUCUGGCUCUCAGCAUUUAACUGGAUUCUGUGCGUGACUGGAUGACCGCUUUGCACAUCACCAUGGGUGUCAUCCCUACCUUCUUUAAACCUUUUGUGCCAGUCAAAAAUUCUUGCUCUUGAUAUGUCAUCACCAGAAACUACUUUUUUUUUUUCUCUCUUUUGCGACAGGGUCUUCCUCUGUCACCCAGGCUGGAUGGAGUCUAGUGGAACAAUCAUAGUUCAUUGCACCUUGAUACCCUGUGCUCAAGUGAUCCUCCCAUCUCAGCCUCCUGAGUAGGUGGGACCACAGGUGUGCACCUGUGGCUAAUGGCUAAUUUAGUUAUUGUUUGUUAUAGAGAUGGGGGGGUCUCCCUAUGUUGUCCAGGCCUGUCUUGAACUCACGGGCUCAAGUGAUCCUCUUGCCUCAGCCUCCCAAAGUUCUGGGAUUACAGGUGUGAGCCACUGGACCCAGCCAGAAACUACUUUUAACAGUUCUAAUUGCCACUUGUCUUGGCUGUAUAUUCAGAAAGAGCCAGUUUGGAAUUAGGGUUUUUUGAUUGCUAUUGAUAAGAAGGUUCAAAUGCAAUAGUCUAUUUCAAGUGUCUCACUGACAUAUUCAACUUUACACAAAGUUUAAUAUGAAUUCUUUGCUCUAACAGUCACCAGUUUUAGGGUCAACAAAAAAAUCUAUUCACAUCUAAGAAACUUAGCUGGUAACCUUAAAAGCUCUGUUGUAGCCAGCACAAAUAUAACCUAUUCCAGCAAUUUCACAAACUACACAAAGAAAAAUUGGUAAAUAUUUCAGCAGAUGAGUACAAAUCAUCUUUGGAGAAGGUGAUAAAGAUUUCAGUGCUAUAUCAUCUUAGCCUUCUGUUUUCCCACCUACAAAAGGGUCGAAAAUAAAUCAGUAUUUUCUUGUCCAAUUAAUAGGAAGAUGAUAUAUGAAAUACUUUAAUUAUAUGUCAUCAGCACUGUCCCAUUCUGAAAGAACCUAAGAUUUUAAAAAUACAUCCUAAUAACAUGUAUAUUGCCGCUUGUCUUGGCUAUAUCUUCAGAAUGAGCUAGUUUGGAAUUAUGGUUUUAUUUUUUUUUUCAAUUGCUGUUGAUUGCUAGGGAGGCUCAAAUGCAAGGUGCCAAAAUAGUUAUUUCCAAAUAUAGAACAACCGAGUAGAUGCUGUUGUCUCCAGUCUGUAUAACACAGUAUGUGUGGUUGGGUUUCUAGAAAUUCUAACACAUACGUAUUGCUUCCCAAAUUCAUCCUGCAAAUACUACGUAGUGGAGUCAAUUUAAAAUAAGCACA